CUUAGCUAUGAGCUCACAUUUGCCAAUGAUAGUGUUCCAGACAGUUUUAUCAUCCACAUUGCUGACCUGGAAGAUGCAUCAUUGUCUAUGAUAUCUGCAAUGGAAAUGAUCACUAGGCAAUUUCAGCCUUGCAAAUCUAACUAUGAACAGUGACGGACAGGCUGAGAGUGGAGAGACUUUCCCUCGGACCCUUGCCUCAGUAACUUUUAAUACAUGUAAGAUGGAUCAUCUGACUGGACUUUCUGAAACAAUAACAUCGGAAAGUUAAUCAGAGUUGGCGUUCUGGGAAUUCAAGGGCAGAGAUAAGUGCUUCCUCCGGAUACUUCACUGUAUUUCAGCAAAUGAGCUGAGGAAAGAAGUCAAACAAAACUUCAUCACGAAAUAGAAGACUGUUGAUUUUCAAUAUGUCUUCCUUGGCCUCUAUGUAGCACUCCCUUGCUGUCUGUUCUGUUGACGUCUAUGGCUUCCACCCAAGGGAGGACGGCAUUAUAGUGGGUGAAUCCAGCACACCCCAAACUGCCCCUGCUCCCCUCUCCCCCGGGCACGUGGGCCCUUGAAGGCAGGCGUCUCCAAACCAGCAGCAUGUGAACCCUGCCAGAGGUGAGGAAGAGCUCUAGGAGAGCAGCCAGCAGCAUCUGUUUUGCAUACUAAGGGCAGCAACAAUCAACUCUCUUCUAGAA
rnacentral:antisense_RNA from 1 species